AUAACACCUGGAAACAGAUGCUAAUACCGGAUAACAACAGAUUGAUGCCUAUCAAACUGUUUAAAAGAUGGUUCUGCUAUCACUCUUGGAUGGACCUGCGGUGCAUUAGCUAGUUGGUAGGGUAACGGCCUACCAAGGCGAUGAUGCAUAGCCGAGUUGAGAGACUGAUCGGCCACAUUGGGACUGAGACACGGCCCAAACUCCUACGGGAGGCAGCAGAG
rnacentral:rRNA from 1 species